rnacentral:rRNA from 1 species
CCCUUAGAUGUUCUGGGCCGCACGCGCGCUACACUGAUGCAUUCAACGAGUCUAAAACCUGGUCUGAUAGGGCUGGGUAAUCUUUUGAAAGUGCAUCGUGAUUGGGAUAGAUGAUUGCAAUUCUUCAUCUUCAACGAGGAAUGCCUAGUAAACGCAAGUCAUCAGCUUGCAUUGAUUACGUCCCUGCCCUUUGUACACACCGCCCGUCGCUCCUACCGAUUGAAUGAUCCGAUGAAUACCAUGGAUUGAGAGUACGAAUGGGUUCGCUCAUUUCUGCUGCGCGAGAAGUGGAGUAAAUCUUAUCAUUUAGAGGAAGGAGAAGUCGUAACA